UACGGAGGAUGCAAGCGUUAUCCGGAUUUAUUGGGUUUAAAGGGUGCGCAGGUUGUUUGAUAAGUCAGUGGUGAAAGUCUGUCGCUUAACGGUAGGAUUGCCAUUGAUACUGUUAGACUUGAAUAUGGAUGAGGUAGGCGGAAUGUGUAGUGUAGCGGUGAAAUGCAUAGAUGUUACACAGAACACCGAUUGCGAAGGCAGCUUACUAAUCCAUCAUUGACGCUGAGGCACGAAAGCGUGGGGAUCAAACA
rnacentral:rRNA from 1 species